AUUGAACGCUGGCGGCAGGCCUAACACAUGCAAGUCGAGCGGUUGAAGGGAGCUUGCUCCCUGAUUCAGCGGCGGACGGGUGAGUAAUGCCUAGGAAUCUGCCUAUUAGUGGGGGACAACGUUUCGAAAGGAACGCUAAUACCGCAUACGUCCUACGGGAGAAAGCAGGGGACCUUCGGGCCUUGCGCUAAUAGAUGAGCCUAGGUCGGAUUAGCUUGUUGGUGAGGUAAUGGCUCACCAAGGCGACGAUCCGUAACUGGUCUGAGAGGAUGAUCAGUCACACUGGAACUGAGACACGGUCCAGACUCCUACGGGAGGCAGCAGUGGGGAAUAUUGGACAAUGGGCGAAAGCCUGAUCCAGCCAUGCCGCGUGUGUGAAGAAGGUCUUCGGAUUGUAAAGCACUUUAAGUUGGGAGGAAGGGUUGUAGAUUAAUACUCUGCAAUUUUGACGUUACCGACAGAAUAAGCACCGGCUAACCCUGUGCCAGCAGCCGCAGUAAAAC
rnacentral:rRNA from 1 species